AUGCCCCCCAAAAAGGGAGGAGAUGGAAUUAAACAACCUCCAAGACUUGGAACCUCACAGAAAAUUGGUAUUGUUAGAUUGUGAAACGUUGGGAAGGCCACCUUCUUCGAUGGAUUAAGCAGUAGUUAGGCUUGAGGAGAAAACAUCCUAGCCUGCACUAUUGAUCCUAUUGAGAGUAGACCGUCUGUGUCAGAUGAGAGGUUUGACUUUCUCUGCCAAUAUCACGAACCAGGAAGCAAGAUUGCUCCUUUCCUAAUGUAGAGGCUUUUGUUGGCUAUAUGAAAGGUGCUCAUAAUGGGCAGGGCAUGGGGAAUGCUUUUUAUCCCACAUUAGUGCCUGGGAGGGGGUUUUUCACUUAACACAUGCUUUUAAAGGUGAUGAUAUCACACGUUUUGAAGGAAGUUUAGAUUCUACUCAGGAUAUAGAAGUAAUUCAUGAAGAGCUUCAGUUGAGAGAUGAGAAAAUAAUUGGGCCCAGUAUAGACAAACUAGAGAAAAUGGCUGUGAGAGGAAGUGAUAAGACACUAAACACCAAGCCCAAAUGUAUUUUAUAUAUAUAUAUAUAUAUAUAUAUAUAUAUAUAUAUAUAUAUAUAUAUAUAUAUUACUAUGCAAAUCUAGGGUUACAGAUCAAAAGAAACCUAUUCACUAGAAUGACAAAGAGAUUGAAGUUUAACUCAAAACUAUCUACUUGGUUAAUCUUUCUGAAAAAAAAACUAUAUAAGAAAGAAAAACAAAUGGUUGAUA
rnacentral:lncRNA from 1 species